GACGAACGCUGGCGGCGUGCUUAACACAUGCAAGUCGAACGGAAAGGCCCUGCUUGCAGGGUACUCGAGUGGCGAACGGGUGAGUAACACGUGGGUGAUCUGCCCUGCACUUCGGGAUAAGCCUGGGAAACUGGGUCUAAUACCGCAUAGGAGCCAUUUUUAGUGUGAUGGUUGGAAAGUUUUUUCGGUGUAGGAUGAGCUCGCGGCCUAUCAGCUUGUUGGUGGGGUAAUGGCCUACCAAGGCGGCGACGGGUAGCCGGCCUGAGAGGGUGGACGGCCACAUUGGGACUGAGAUACGGCCCAGACUCCUACGGGAGGCAGCAGUGGGGAAUAUUGCACAAUGGGCGCAAGCCUGAUGCAGCGACGCCGCGUGGGGGAUGACGGCCUUCGGGUUGUAAACUCCUUUCGCUAGGGACGAAGCUUUUUGUGACGGUACCUAGAUAAGAAGCACCGGCUAACUACGUG
rnacentral:rRNA from 1 species